rnacentral:misc_RNA from 1 species
GAAAUGCGAUAAGUAGUGUGAAUUGCAGAAUUCAGUGAAUCAUCGAAUCUUUGAACGCACAUUGCGCCCUUUGGUAUUCCUUAGGGCAUGCCUGUUCGAGCGUCAUUUGUAACCUCAAGCUCAGCUUGGUGUUGGGUGUCUGUCCCCGCCCCGCGCGGGGACUCGCCUCAAAAACAUUGGCGGCCGGUACGUUGGCUUCGAGCGCAGCAGAAACGCGAACUUGAGGCCCGACGGAUCGGCGACCAGAAGUCACUUCUUCCACAGCUUGACCUCGGAUCAGGUAGGGAUACCCGCUGAACUUAAGC